rnacentral:rRNA from 1 species
UACGUAGGGUGCAAGCGUUGUCCGGAAUUAUUGGGCGUAAAGAGCUCGUAGGCGGUCUGUCGCGUCUGCUGUGAAAACUCGGGGCUUAACCCCGGGCCUGCAGUGGGUACGGGCAGACUAGAGUGCGGUAGGGGAGACUGGAAUUCCUGGUGUAGCGGUGAAAUGCGCAGAUAUCAGGAGGAACACCGGUGGCGAAGGCGGGUCUCUGGGCCGUUACUGACGCUGAGGAGCGAAAGCGUGGGGAGCGAACGGG